UACGAAGGGGGCUAGCGUUGCUCGGAAUUACUGGGCGUAAAGCGCACGUAGGCGGCUCUUUAAGUCGGGGGUGAAAUCCUGGAGCUCAACUCCAGAACUGCCUUCGAUACUGUAGAGCUUGAGUUCGGGAGAGGUGAGUGGAACUGCGAGUGUAGAGGUGAAAUUCGUAGAUAUUCGCAAGAACACCAGUGGCGAAGGCGGCUCACUGGCCCGGAUACUGACGCUGAGGUGCGAAAGCGUGGGGAGCAAACAGG
rnacentral:rRNA from 1 species